rnacentral:rRNA from 1 species
CCUACGGGAGGCAGCAGUGAGGAAUAUUGGUCAAUGGGCGAGAGCCUGAACCAGCCAAGUCGCGUGAGGGAGUACUGCCCUAUGGGUUGUAAACCUCUUUUGUCGGGGAGCAAAAGCCGGACGUGUCCGGCUGUGAGAGUACCCGAAGAAAAAGCAUCGGCUAACUCCGUGCCAGCAGCCGCGGUAAUACGGAGGAUGCGAGCGUUAUCCGGAUUUAUUGGGUUUAAAGGGUGCGCAGGCGGAUUUUUAAGUCAGCGGUAAAAUCGUGGGGCUCAACCCCAUCCAGCCGUUGAAACUGGGGGUCGAGAGUGUGCGAGAGGUAUGCGGAAUUCCUGGUGUAGCGGUGAAAUGCGUAGAUAUCAGGAGGAACACCGGCGGCGAAGGCGGCCUGCUGGACCGCGACUGACGUUGAGGCUCGAAAGCGUGGGGAGCGAACAGGAUUAGAUACCCCGGUAGUC